CUCCUGCGGCAAUUGGCUGGAUUCGCAGUUACUUAAUUGGUCGUCGGCAAUGCAUUAUGUACAAUGCAAUAAGAUAUGAAGUACCGAGAGAGUUUCGAUUUGUAAACUAUGUGCAAACUGAGUAUUACCUACCAAAGAAACGAACAAUUCCAUGGAAGAGAAAAAUGUUUUCAAGAAGACAUUUUCUGUAAUAAGUCGUAUUAGAUGUAGCGUGUCAUAAAAGCAGGUACAUUUUAAA